UACGUAGGGGGCAAGCGUUGUCCGGAAUCAUUGGGCGUAAAGAGCGUGUAGGUGGCUCGGUAAGUCCGCUGUGAAAGUCCAGGGCUCAACCCUGGAAUGCCGGUGGAAACUGUCGGGCUAGAGUCCGGAAGAGGCGAGUGGAAUUCCUGGUGUAGCGGUGAAAUGCGCAGAUAUCAGGAGGAACACCAAUGGCGAAGGCAGCUCGCUGGGACGGUACUGACACUGAGACGCGAAAGCGUGGGGAGCAAACAGG
rnacentral:rRNA from 1 species